AUUGAACGCUGGCGGCAGGCCUAACACAUGCAAGUCGAACGAGUGGCGGACGGGUGAGUAAUGUCGGGGAAACGGCCCGAUGGAGGGGGAUAACUACUGGAAACGGUAGCUAAUACCGCAUACCAUCGGAUGUGCCCCGAUGGGAUUAGCUAGUAGGUGGGGUAACGGCGCACCUAGGCGACGGUCCGUAGCUGGUUUGAGAGGACGACCAGCAAAACUGGGACUGAGACACGGCCCAGACUCCUACGGGAGGCAGCAGUGGGGAAUUUUGGACAAUGGGGGCAACCCGGAUCCAGCCAUGCCGCGUGUGGGAUGAAGGCCUUCGGGUUGUAAAGCACUUUUAGCAGGGAGGCGGUACCUGCAGAAUAAGCACCGGCUAACUACGUGCCAGCAGCCGCGGUAAUAC
rnacentral:rRNA from 1 species